rnacentral:tRNA from 10 species
CUGGGAUUACGGGCGUGAGCCACUGCGCUCGGCCGAUUUAAUGCCUUUUUUUUUUUAAUCUUCCUUGUCUUUCUCCUUGUGAAUGGAAAUAUCUAUAAUUUGUGUCCUAUGCCUGUCCCAUCAGUGUACUUUGGGAGCAGAUAAUUUGUGAGCCACCGCGCCCAGCCCAUUAGCUCCUACGUUUAACUCACUGUUGGUGAUCUUCCACUUCCUCCUACUGUUACCUUUGCAAGGAGUGUUUUGUUGUUGUUGUUGUUGUUUUUGACUUGGCAGGUGACAGUCCAAUGGCUACAACCAAGGAGUAUUUAACAAAGAAAAUUGAUUACUUGGAACAAGUAAACAGGACAGCUGGAAUAAAUCCCCACAUCAAUGCCUCCCUGAACAGGGCUGAGAUUCUUCCUGUAACUUUUCUAAAACAUCAAGAACUGGAGGUGCAACAGUUACAAGUCAAAAUUUUACAAACAAGAGAGACUCAGCCUAAAUUUCUAAUUGAAUGUCUUUCAAAGAUUAUCUAGAGCCUUAUGGAAGAUGUUUUUGACUAUUGAGUGCCACUAUGGAUAUAAAAGACCAAUAAGGUGUUAGAUUUAUGACAGCCAUGAAUGCUACAGGAGACAAAUAAAGUUAACCCAAUAAGCUUUAAACUUUAAUCUCUUUUAUGAUGAAGAAGAGGAAGAGGAAGAAGAAGAAGAAAAAAAGGAGAAGAAGAAGGAGAAGAAGAAGGAGGAGGAGGAGGAGAAGGAGAAGGAGGGAAGUAGGAGGAGGAGGAAGGGGAAGGGGAAGGAGAAGGACAAGGGGGAGGAGAAGGAGAAGGAGGAGGAGGAGAAGGAGGAGGAGGAGAAGGAGAGGAGGAGGAGGAGGAAGAAGAAGAAGAAGGAAAAGGAGAAGGAUGACUAUGUUAGUCUAUUCUCACACUGUCACACUGCUCUAAAGAUAUUACCCAAGACUGGGCAAUUUAUAAAAGAAAGAAGUUUAGUUGACUUACAGUCCCACAUGGUUUGGGAGGCCCCAGAAAAUUUACAAACGUGGCACAUCUUACAUGGCAGCAGGAGAGAGUGAGAGUGUAAUGGGAACAGCCUCUUAUAAACACAUCAGAUUUCAUGAGUACUCACUCACUAUCAUAAGAACAGCAUAGGAGAAACCACUCCCAUGGUCCAAGUACUUUCCACCAGGUCCCUCCCUCAGCAACUGAGGAUUACAAUUCAGAUUACAAUUACAGAUGAGAUUUGGGUGGGAACACAGAGCCAAGCCAUAUCAUUCUGCCUCUGGCCUCUCCCAAAUCUCAUGUCCUCACAUUUCAAAACACAAUUAAGCCUUCCCAACAGUACCCCAAAGUGUCUUAAUUCAUUUCAGCAUUAACUCAAAAGUCCAGGUCUAAGGUCUCAUCUGACACAAAUCUCUUCCACCUAUGAGCCUGUAAAAUAAAAAUAAAAAAAAAAACAAGUCAGUUACAUCCAAGAUAUGAUGGGGAUACAGGCCUUGGAUAAAUGCUUCCAUUCCAAAUGGGAUACAGUGGUCAAAACAAAGGGCUACAGGCUCCAUGCAGCCUGAAAGCCGGAAGGGCAGUCAUUACAUUGUAAAGCUCAAAAAUAAUCUCUUUUGACUUCAUGUCUCACAUCCAGGGUGUGCUGAUGGAAAUGAUGGGCUUCCACAGCCUUCCGCAGCUCCGCCCCUGUGGCUUGCAGGGUUCAGCCCCUGCAGCUGCUUUCAUGGGCUGACAUUGACUGCCUGCAGCUUUUCCAGGCACAUGGUGAAAGCUGUCAGUGAAUCUACCAUUCUGGGGUCUGGAGGACAGUGGCCCUCUUCUCACAGCUGCACUAGGAAAUGCCCCAGUGGGGACUCUGUGUGGGGGCUCUAACCCCACAUUUCCCUUCCACACUGCCUUAGCAGAGGUUCUCAAUUAGGGCUCAACCCCUGAAGCAAACCCUUACCUGAACAUCCAGGCGUUUCCAUACAUCCUCUGAAAUCUAGGCAAAGGAUCCCUAACCUCAAUUCUUGACUUCUGUGCAUCCACAGGCUCAACACCACAUGAAAGCCACCAAGGCUUGGUUCUUGCAACCUCUGAAGCAAUGGCCUGAGAUGUACCUUGGCCUCUUUUAGCCAUGGCUGGAGCUGGAGUGGCUGGAAUGCAGGGCACCACGUCCUGAGGCUGCGCACAGCAGCGGGGAUCUGGGCUUGGCCCAUGACACCAUUUUUUCCCUUCUAGGCCUCCAGGUGAUUAAAGCAGAAGGGCCAACAGAAAUAGCCCAUUUCUCCAACUCUUCAGAUACACUAAUAUCUCCUAACUUGCUCAGCACAACAUGCACACAUUUUAUGAAUGAAACAAAGUGUUCUCAAAGGGUGGAUAGAAACAACAACUUCCUACUGGUCUCUGGGUCACCAGCUUCAAGGCAACCAGUGAGCGCUUGUCCUCCCCUGCACACAUAAUGACUUUUGGCACGUAAGUGGAAGGAACUUGCCCUGUCUUGGAUGAGACUUUGGACUGUGGACUUCUGAGUUAAUGCUGAAAUGUGUUAAGACUUUGGGAGACUCUUGGGAAGGCAUGAUUUGUUUUGAAAUGUGAAGACAUUAGAUUUGGGAGGAGCCAUGGGUGGAAUAAUACGAUUUGGCUGUUCCUCCCAAAUCUCACCUUGAAUUCUGACAUGUUGUGGGAGGGACCUGGUGGGAGGUGAUUUAAUCAUGAGGCAGGUCUUUCCCAUGCUGGUCUCAUGAUAGUGAAUAAGUCUUACGAGACUGAUGAUGGUUUUAAAAUGGGGAGUUUCCCUGCACAAGCUCUAUUCUCUUGUCUGCCGCCAUGUCAGACAGGCCUUUUACCUUCUGCCAUGAGUAAGAGGCCUCCCCAGCCACGUUGAAUUGUAAGUCUGAUAAACCUCUUUCUUUUGUAAAUUGCCCAGUCUCAGGUAUAUUUUUAUCAGCAGCAUGAAAACAGACUAAUACAGUCACCCUCAUAAGUUAGCAAAUUACUUAGCUGCCUCAUCUUCAUGCCCUGGGGAUCUGUGGAAGCUUUACCUUAAGAGUGAUGACUUAGGGUAUCUAGUGUAAGAAAUUUCUAAGCAGCACAGAAUUCAAGGUGUGGCCUGGCUUCUUCAAACCAGCAUACUCUCAGAUGCAGGAAUGAAUAAAUUACUUAAAAUUGGAAGUUAUAUUAAUAUUAAUAUUUACCAGGGAGGCAGAGGGUGAAAGUUUGGAAAAUUUACAGCCUAGUCCUGUGGCAAAGAAAAGAGAAACUUUUUAGGAGAGGGAUCCAAGCAGUCUACAGAACAACCACUUGUUAAAGAGAUUUGCAUGUGUAAAAGGGAGCAACUGCUUAUAGCCAAGACAAUGGGAAAAAGUCUGGAAGGCAUUUCAGAGAUCUAAUAGGCAGCACCUCUCAUCACAGGCCCAGAGGCCUAGGAAGACUAAAUGGUUUCAGGGGAGAGGCCCAGGGCCCCACUGCCCUGCUCAGCCUUAGGACAUACUCCCCCGAUCCUGAUUGCUCCAGCCACAACUCAAAGGGGCCCCAGGACAACUCAAGUCACUAUUCCAGAGGAUGCAAGCUGUAAGCAUUGAUGGCUUCCAUGUGGAGUUAAGCCUGGGAACAUCCAAAGUGCAAGAGUGAAGGAGGCUUGGCAGUCUCUGCCUAGAUUUCAGAGAAUGUAAGAGAACACCUGGCUGCUCAUGAAGAAGCCUUCUACUGGGGUGAAACUCUCACAGAGUACCUCUACUAGGUCAGUGCCAAGGGGAAAUGUAGGGUUAGAGUUUCCACACAGAAACUCUACUGGGGCAUUGGAUUCCUAAUGGCUCAGUCCUGUCCUCAAGAUAGUGAGUUCUCAUGAGAUCUGGUUGAUUAAAAGUGUGUGACACCUCUCCCCCUGACUACUGGUCUUACCAUGUGAUAUGACUGUUCCUGCUUCACCUUCAACAAUGAGUAAAAGCUCCCUGAGUCCUCCCAGAAGCCAAGCAGGUGCCAGUGCCACAUUUCCUGUAUAGCCUACAGAACUGUGAGUCAAUUAAGCCUAUUUUCUUUAUAAAUAUCCCAGUCUCAGGUACUUCCUUAUAGCAAUGUAAGAACAACCUAACAUACCACACUGGUAAUUUUCAGUUUAUUCAACAGUGUUUUUCUUUAAUACUAAUAUCUGUAUCAGAAAUAUGUCAUAAUCAUCUAAAUUGUAUGCUAAUAAAAUUAACAUUUAUUUUUACUUUGCAUUUGUUUUCAUGCACUUAUUAUCAAUAACUAGAAAAAGACAUUUACAAUAAACAGUUUGGGUGUAGUAUUAGAAGUCUAAUCAUUCAAUAAUUCUUAAAGAUAUUUAGAAGUCUGCUUCAUUGUUACUGAAGAUAUCACUAAAACUGUAUUAUUGUUGGCCAAACAUGGCUGAAAGUCCAAAAAGAGUAGAUCAUUUGUUGUGCUUUUGAAAGAAAUUGAAUGUGACAUUUUGCUGGACUAUAAUAAUACUCAUAAUAAAAAAAUACAUUAGCUGUGUUCUAUACAUACAUUAUUAAUUAUCUGUUGAUAGUCAAUAAUAUUCUAUAUAAUGUUAACUAUAGUUUUAUUUACCAGUUCAAUAAAGAACAACCUCUUUUACUAUACUGUUAAUUAUAGUCUCUAUAAUGUUAGCUAUAUUUUAUUUACCAUUUUCUACACUUAAGUUACACUGAAGUAAAAGUCUUAUUGCAUUUUUAUUUUUAUUUUUUAAUUUAUUUAAUUAAUUUUUUUGGGAGACAGAAUCUCACUUCAUCAUCUGUGCUGGAGUGCAGUGGUGCAAUCUUGGCUCACUGCAACCUCUGCCUCCUUGGUUCAAGUGAUUCUCGAGCCUCAGCCUCCCAAGUAACUGGGAUUACAGGCAUGCGCCACUAAGCCCAGCUAAUUUUUGUAUUUUUAGUAGAGAUGGCUUCCCCGCAUUGGCUGGGCUGGUCUUGAACUCCUGGCCUCAAGUGAUCCAUCCUCCUCGGCCACCCAAAGCACUGGAAUUACAGGCAUGAGCCUCUGCACCUGGCUGCAUUUUUUUUAUUUUCAGCUUUCAUUCAUCAGGAUAUAGGAAGUGAUAUCUGUUUUAUAGGGAUAAUACCACAUCAGCUGAAGAGCUACUUAUUACAGAAAAAAUGAUUGUACCUUUUCAAAACUUAAAGAAAUUUGUAGUCAACAUUUUGAAGGAAGGUCAGCAUGACAUUAAAUAACAAAAUUUGUAGUUUCAUUGAUUUGUUUAUUUUUAUUUAAUUGAAUGAUUUACAUGUUGUUUAGAUGCUAAACAGAUAAAGUUUAAGAUCUUAUAUUUAAUUUGAAAUAGAAUGCAUUGUGUAAUUUCAUUGUAAACCUGGAAUUUAUAAAUCAUAGCUCCUAUGUUUUUAAAAUAAUUUAUUUACUGAUGUUCAAAGGACAGAACUGUACACAAUGUGCUGUGAAAUUUGCUCCAAUAUUUUCUUUCUCAAUUUGAAUAAAGCAAUCUUCUGAAGGUGCUAUGAAAACAUAAUGACUAGUGUUACAUUUUAUAAUAUAGUUUGUAAUUUUGCAUUAGCUCAUAUACUGAAGUUUAAAUGACAAUUAUCAGAGAAUGUAUUAAGUAUACAAUCAUUAUUGGGAUCUAAGUUCUUUUUGCUUGGAUGUUAGGUUAGCAGUCUCCAAAAUUAAUAAAUAUGUCAUUUAUUAGUGCAAGGUGUAUUUUUAUUAAAUUGCUACAGACUUUUGUAUGUUUUGUGUGUUGGUUUUACACAUAAGACUAACUAUUCAAAUGGAUUUUUCUCCAGAACACUUGUAUCACAUAUCCAUUUAUUUCUCUUUAUCAUGUUUUCUGUGGUCAAAGUUUACUUUUUGAGAAGUUUUUGCCUUAUAGACAUAAGAUUAAGGAAGUUUACAACUUGAUGACAAUUGCAUGCUUGCUAAAUUAGUUGCAUAAUUGUUUUGCACAGGAAAUUGUAUGUGCAAAUACUUUGAUUAGAUUCACAUUCUUCUGGCUAAGUUCUCAAAAUAUAUCAUUGAAAAAGACAUUUACAUUUAAAUGUACCCCUGCUACAGCUACA